AUACGAAGGGGGCUAGCGUUGUUCGGAAUCACUGGGCGUAAAGCGCACGUAGGCGGAUAUUUAAGUCAGGGGUGAAAGCCUGGAGCUCAACUCCAGAACUGCCCUUGAUACUGGGUAUCUCGAGUCCGGAAGAGGUAAGUGGAACUGCGAGUGUAGAGGUGAAAUUCGUAGAUAUUCGCAAGAACACCAGUGGCGAGGGCGGCUUACUGGUCCGGUACUGACGCUGAGGUGCGAAAGCGUGGGGAGC
rnacentral:rRNA from 1 species